rfam:Ovis aries breed Texel chromosome 1, whole genome shotgun sequence.
UCCCUAAUAGCUCAGACAGUAAAGCGUCUGUGUGCAAUUCAGGAGACCCGGGUUCAAUCCCUGGGUUGGGAA